CCCGGUGAGGUUUUAACGGCCGCAGUUAGAAGCUGUGCUAAGGUAGCGUAGUAAGUUGUCCUUUAAAUGGGGAAAGGAAUGAAUGGUUUGACGUGAGGGAUUCUGUCUCAAGAAAGGGGCAAAAACUUUUCUUCCCAGUGAAAAGCCUGGGAUGAACUUAAAAGACGAGAAGACCCUUUCGAGCUUGAUUAGGCUUUAAAAGUUUUUAAGGUGGAAGUUUGGUUGGGGCAACUUAGGAGCAAACUGAGACUCCUUAGGUUUAUACCGAUCCAAAAAUUUUGAAUAAAGAAAAAGCUACCGUAGGGAUAACAGCGUUAUCUUUUCUGAGAGAACAAAUUGAAGGAAGGGUUUGCGACCUCGAUGUUGAAUUAAGGUUUCCGUUGGGCGUAGA
rnacentral:rRNA from 1 species